rnacentral:rRNA from 1 species
GAUGAACGCUGGCGGCAUGCCUAACACAUGCAAGUCGAACGGCAGCAUGACCUACCUUCCUCGGUUACUUGCGCGUGGCGCACGUGAGUGUCAUGCAGCUGACCGUCCUUUUUGGUGGGGGUUACCGUAGCAAAAGGUACCCUAUUACCGCAUAUUCUCUGAAGCGCAAAGCUGAAUACCUUCGGGCCUUUUGCUUGACAAUCAGCCCGGGUCGCAUUAGCUAGUUGGUGAGGUAAAGGCUCACCAAGGCAACGAUCCGUAGCGGGUCUGAGAGGAUGAUCGGCCACACUGGAACUGAGACACGGUCCAGACUCCUACGGGAGGCAGCAGUAGGGAAUCUUGGACAAUGGGCGCAAGCCUGAUGCAGCAAUGCCGCGUGAGUGAAGAAGGCCUUCGGGUCGUAAAGCUCUGUCGGCAGGGAAGAAAACGCGCCCUAGAAAACAGGGAGUGGAUGACGGUACCAGAAUAAGAAGCACCGGCUAACUACGUG